AAGUCGUAACAAGGUUUCUGUAGGUGAACCUGCAGAAGGAUCAUUAGUGAAGAUUUGGGCAGGCCAUACGGACGCCAAAAAGUGUCCCUGGCCGCCUACACCCACUAUACAUCCACAAACCCGUGUGCACUGUCUUGGAGAAAGGCUUCAGAGAAGUUUUUUGUGGCCUCUCUUGGGGUCUUUCUUCGCUACAAACUCGAAUGGUUAGUAUGAACGUGGAACUUGGUUGGACCGUCACUGGCCAACAAACUAUACACAACUUUCGACAACGGAUCUCUUGGUUCUCCCAUCGAUGAAGAACGCAGCGAAACGCGAUAGGUAAUGUGAAUUGCAGAAUUCCGUGAAUCAUCGAAUCUUUGAACGCACCUUGCGCUCUAUGGCAAUCCGUAGAGCAUGCCUGUUUGAGUGCCAUGAAAUCUCCCACCCCAAGCGGUUUUUAAAUGAAACGGCUUGGCGGAUGGGGUCUGGAUGGGUGCCUCUGCCUGCGCUACCUAGCACAGGCUCGCCCGAAAUGCAUGAGCGCCUGAGACACUUUGCAUCCGCCUCUCUGUUUGGGAGGAGGCGGCCAAGCAGUGUUUUUCUCCUGGCAUGGCAUGAUACGUCAUUUGCUAUGUCGCCUAAAGGAGGAAUGUUUGGUUGUGUCUGCGUGUGCUUCGAACUUGCCUCUGUGGCACAUCCCAAUUUCACUUCUGGUCUCAAAUCAGGUAGGAUCACCCGCUGAACUUAA
rnacentral:rRNA from 2 species